rnacentral:lncRNA from 10 species
GUAAUUGGGCUUGGAGCGGGCUUGGGCGGGGUGGUAGGGAACCUGAGCUCCGUUGGUUCAGGGUGUUUGCCCCUGACAUCCUGUGGCCUGGCUGGGAGGGUUCGUGAAGUUCAGGAAGAAAUUGGGAGCAGUCCUUACAGAAUGUUUUAUUUGAAGAACCAAGAGUAUUAAUUUUUUGGCGAGCACUGUUGUAGGCCCUGGGAAUUCAGCAGUGAGAAAAAUAAUUUCAACUCCCUGCCAGACCCGGGCUAGAAGGAGGCAAGCGAGCGAGGCACUCGCAUAGGGGCAAAAUUUAAGGGCGCGACAAAAAAACUCAGUAGUCAAGGUAAAUAAUGUUUUAAUACAAUAUCUUAAAAAGUCAAAAUGAAUGCAAAAAAAGUUUAUAAUGAACAAAAUAUCAAAAACUUAAAGACAGUGAAUGAAACCAAAAUAUGCCAUCCUAAAAUAUGCCGCUUUGGUAUAUUGAUUAUUUUGAGCGAGAGGCACUUGAAAAAUAGCAAAUGCAGAGAGACGUUCUCCCCUUACCUGUCUAAAGACGGAACCUCCAAAAGAAACUGAUUGUCGUAAAUUCCCUCCCGGGAGGAUGGACUCUUAUCACAGCAGAAGUCCACACCACACCUAGACAAACUUUGUCACAAACUCAUAAAGACUUAUGCAUCUUUCCUAAAAAUCAGUUACUCUCCCCUAAGUGGCCUACACCAGCUUCCAGUUCCCCAAUUUUAGAAGCUCUCAAAGCUCACUGGUUUGGGGGGUUUUCACCUAGUUUCCUGCAAUGCCCCCAUGCAGGUGAUAUUAAAGAUUAAUAAAUGUGUAUUCCCGUUCCCCCCGUUCAUCUGCCCGUUGGCAGUUAAUUUCAUAGAGCCAGCUAUGGAACUGGGGAGGACAGAGAGAAGGUCUUUGCUCUCCUAAGACAAGAUGGAUCCCCCACUGACUUUGGACUCCCGUCACGUUCACCGACCCCUGAGUCCUGCUCCUGUGCCUGCCUGGAGCUUAUGUUCUAACGGGCACAAACAAUAAAUAAGGAAGAUAUUUUGCAGGUGCUAUGCCAAAAGAAGAGCCAUGAGGAGGGGCGCAGGUUUUUGUUUUGUUUUAUUUUGGUUUGGUUUGGUUGGUUGGUUGAGAUGGAGUCUCGCUCUUGUUGCCCAGGCUGGAGUGCAAUGGCGUGAUCUCGGCUCACUGCAACCUCCGCCUCCCGGGUUCAAGCAAUUCUCCCGCCUCAGCCUCCUGAGUAGCUGGGAUUACUGGCGCGUGCCACCACGCCCAGCUAAUUUUUGUAUUUUUAGUAGAGACGGGGUUUCAUCAUGUUAGCCAGGCUGGUCUCAAACUCCUGACUUCAGGUGAUCUACCCACCUCUGCCUCCCAAAGUGCUGGAAUUACAGGCUUGAGCCACCGAGGGGCGCAGUUUUAAUCUAGCGGUGAGAGGAGUCAGGGAAGGUGAAAUUUGCGCUUCCUGAGGACCCGCCUGCCGGCCCGGGCUCCCCCAGUCUCGCCGUUAAAUGAACGGAAAUUGGCGGACGCCGUUGCCUGCAGGCACAGCCCGUCGGCUCGGUUGCGUAAAUGUACUUAGCAGCCAAAGCUCAGUGGAAACCCUGCGGGAGGAUUGAUUGGCGCUCUUAGGUGAAGCAGGCUGUCAAGAGCCCCGAUUCACUGUCCUCUGGGGAAAAUGGAUAGACAAAUCGGAGGAAAAAAUUGAGAGGAACUGUGAGCAGUAUAAAUCUUGCAUGAGGAGGCCCCUGACUUACGUUAAAACUCAGAGUUAUGAAGGGCUGUGACACCUUGCUUGGCUUCUAGUCUUGACAUAGACUAAAAGGCAGAAGGUUUCCAGAGCUCACGCUGGAUGGCUGGGCAGAUGAGGUCUUCAGAGACUCUCCAGGGAGGUACGGCUCUGCCUUUCUACUCAGUAUGCAAGCUCCCCAGACUUCUGAAGAGGGAUGUUUCUCCUUAGAGAAAGUCUCCCUGAAUGUGGGUAUUUCAUAAGUUCUUGGACCAGUUCUGCUCUUCUCAGUCCUGCUUUUUGUCAACAUACAUUGAAUCACUUCUCCCUGGCAAAAGAGCAGCAUGUGAAGAAAAUGUGAUCCUUGGUGGUUUGACAUGAAAUUGACUUUUUCUUCUAGCAACACUUAUGAAUAUUCAAAUACAAUUAUGGAAAAGAUUUUUUGCACUGAUCAGCAUAACAAACAAAUUAGACAUCCCAGUGUGCAAAUAUAACUUUCUGAAUUUCCUAGUUUUAAAUAUUCCAGUGGCCAGGAUACCCUAUCCAGAGGAAGCAGGACCGUCUCAGCUGACCAGGGCCCUUGCCUGCUAAUAGCAUCAUGCAUACCUUGUUUCUUCAUGAGGCUGCUUGCCCGAGUUCCAAUCCACCAGGAAUUCAUCUUGUAUCAUAGCUGAUGGAUCCCGUGUCUCGUUUCUAAGUUGGAGCAUCACUUUGCAGCUCCCAACCAGGGCCAGCCACAAAAUUUGAAAGGCCCAGUGCAAAAUAAAAAUGCAGAGCCCCUUGUUCAAAAAGCAGGAAAAGAAUGGGCCAGCAAAGGAACUAAAAUAAACGAAAGCUUUUCCCUUUCUUCCAUGGUCUCUCUUUUGACCUAUCAUGGUGUUUUUAUUUGCUACUGAAUAUCAUGCUUUCUUGGGACAGGGUGAGUGUCAACUGUCACACUUGCCCAGGGGCCCUGCCGAGUGACUUGGUGGGUACACAGUCCACCAGCUGCUUGCAUGGCCACGCCCACCCUGAGAUGCCACGGGUAGUGUAGUAAAAGCAUCUGAUGUCAACCCCACACCCCUCCACACAUACACACUCAGGUUCCCGCAGACCAUGGAGGGCACCAGCGGUUGCUGGGUGAGGGUGGGGAUGGGGAGGCCAUGUGGGGCCCAGGACACCAAAGGGAGGGAGACGAGCAGUCAAUAAUGUGCCUGGGAGAGGUGGCGGACCAGCAGCAGAUGGGAGCACACAUGAGGCAGGCUCCAAGUGCUCACGUAUGCUCCACUGUCCAAUGAGGCCUCACUUACACCACACAAAUUCAAAGAUAAAAUAAAGUUUUUUUUGUUUUGUUUUGUUUUGUUUUGUUUUGGAGACAAGAGUCUCACUCUGUCACCCAGGCUAGAGUGCAGUGGCGCAAUCUUGGCUCACUGCAACUUCCACCUUCCAGGUUCAAGUGAUUCUCCUGCCUCAGCCUCCCAAACAGCUGGGGCUACAGGUGUCCACCACCACACCUGGCUAAUUUUUUGUAUUUUUAGUAGAGAUGGGGUUUCUCCAUGCUGGCCAGGCUGGUCUCAAACUCCUGACCUCAAGUGAUCCGCCC